rnacentral:rRNA from 1 species
UACGUAGGCAGCGAGCGUUGUUCGGAGUUACUGGGCGUAAAGGGUGUGUAGGCGGUUGUUUAAGUUUGGUGUGAAAUCUCCCGGCUCAACUGGGAGGGUGCGCCGAAUACUGAAUGACUUCGAGUGCGGGAGAGGAAAGUGGAAUUCCUGGUGUAGCGGUGAAAUGCGUAGAUAUCAGGAGGAACACCGGUGGUGUAGACGGCUUUCUGGACCGUAACUGACGCUGAGACACGAAAGCGUGGGUAGCGAACAGG